UUUAUUUUUGUAAAAUUUUAAAUAAAUAUGCAUAGAUAAAUCAAGUUUUAAAAUUUCUUACUAGCUGUAACAUAAGACCCAAAACUGAGUGAUCUAAACCAUGGACAGAUUGAAAAUUUAAUAAAAACUAUUUGAAGAAUCGAACUCACGUAUGUGGUAAAAUAUGGAGGUGAUUUGUCAUUAGGAGUGAAAGGCUAAUCAAACUCAGAGAUAGCUGGGUUUCCGCACAAUCUAUUGAAGUAGGAUAUUUAAAAUCUUUUUUUAGGUAAAGCAUUCAUUGAGCCAAGGGACGUAAUAUUACUAUAUUCUUUGAAACUCUGAUUACGUAAAAAACGUAAUUUAAAUAGACAGACAUUAGGCGCUAAGGUCUUUUGUCAAAAGGGAAACAGCCCAAAUUUGAUAACCUCGGGUAGUAUUCUCACCGAUGAGAAUCAUUUUCUCUGGAAAUCUACCACGCGAAUCGUGGUGGAUACAAAAUAGCAGGUUGAUCAACUUCUGGUGUAUUAGUUUUUCUUGGCGAUGGCCAAGUGGUAUACCGAAUCAAGCGUCAGUCCUCACACUUUAAUCGGCAGAGACAGAAUAUAUGGCACUAGCAUUGACAACUUGAGAGGUGCUAUGACUUCGGUAUCUGCUAGAAGAACUUGAACUCCAAUCAUCCGGUGCAAUAGAGAUCCUGAUGGAUAACAAAUCGUCAAUAAGCAUGGCGUCGAACUUUCGUUACAGACCUCGUCCGAAACACAUUGAUCCGCGGGCUCAUUUUAUGCGUGAUCGUGUGGAGAUCUAAAGCAUAAGUCUUGAGUACGUACCAUCAGAAGACCAAUAGCGGAAUUCUUGACCAAGACUAUUUAGACUCCGCGCUUUACGCAGCUCACGGAGCUGCGAUAAGCCCGGUGAUCGUUAUAGUCUCAAAAUAAUAUUCUAAGUGAGAAAGUAGGUGAAUUAAUUAUUACAACCAGUAGGUAGGCUUGGAAGCAGCCAUCCUGUAUAGAGAGCAUUUAGCUCAUUGGUCUAGUGUUUUUGCGCCUAAAUAUAUCGAGACUUCAGAAAUUUACCGAAAUAGCAGGUUAUAUUAAAAAAAAUGUAGCGGAACAUUCUGUAUGUUAAUAAAGAUAUAUUGUAAAAUAUAUUGAAGAUAUCAGAAAGUGGGGAC
rnacentral:ncRNA from 1 species